UACGUAGGGUGCAAGCGUUAAUCGGAAUUACUGGGCGUAAAGCGUGCGCAGGCGGUUUGUAAGUCUGUCGUGAAAGCCCCGGGCUCAACCUGGGAAUUGCGAUGGAGACUGCAAGGCUUGAAUCUGGCAGAGGGGGGUAGAAUUCCACGUGUAGCAGUGAAAUGCGUAGAGAUGUGGAGGAACACCGAUGGCGAAGGCAGCCCCUGGGUCAAGAUUGACGCUCAUGCACGAAAGCGUGGGGAGCAAACAGG
rnacentral:rRNA from 1 species